CACGUGUUCGCAUCACUCAAGAGGAGGAGGUCGAGUUUUUUCUUCUUUAUUCUCGACAAAAGAAGAAAAAAAUAAAGGAUUUGAUUCGCAGCGCGGAGACCAUUAGAGGAAGAACAGAGGCAGAGGAUCAGAUCCCGGCACGGACCGAGAGAGAAAGAGGGGGACUCAGACAAGAGAGAGAGAGAGAGAGAGGGGGCUCGACACGCUUUUGCAACAUUUCGGAGCACGACAAAAACGAAAUCAAAAUAGUUAUUUUUUUUUACUACUACCCAGGGAUCAGUGAGAAUUAAAGCGACGCUGUGAAGUGUGUUAAAACCCGUCUUCGAUCUGGAUCAGACCCGACACACAGAGAGACAGAGAGACACAGAGAGACACAGAGAGACAGAGAGAGAGACAGAGAGAGAGAGAUCCAGCCACCUGCCAGCCUCCUGCUUUCAGCCAAAGACGCGCCGAUAAAGGAACCCCAUCGAAUAAGCGAGACUUCCACACAACCGCACCUGCGCCGACAGCAGCGACUGUCAGGGUUACUCUCCCCUCCGAUUAUCAUCACCACUACUAUUAUUAUUAUUAUUACUAGAGUAUUCAUUCAUUCAUUUAUUUAUUGUUUUUUUUAUAUAUAUUAUUGAAUAAAUUAAGGAAAUAUUUAUAUACAUCACCGCCCGUGCACUUGUUUUUAAAGGGAAUUAAAAAGAGGAAAAAAGAGAGAGAUUAUUAUUAUUAUUAUUAUUAUUAUUAUACAAAAAUAAGCAUAUUUUGUAUUGGGAGACUGGAAAAAAACAACACGUACAUUAUAUAUAUAUAAAUAUAUAUAUAUAGAGGGAGAGAGAGAGGGAGAGACGUUAGCUAGAUAUAUAUAUAUAUAUAUAUUUUGUAUACAGUAUUUAUUUGAGCAGCUGCAGGGAGCCUCUUAGCGCGUUACCAAUGAAGGAAUCUGACGCGAUCAAGCUGUUCAUUGGACAAAUACCCAGAAACCUGGAAGAAAAGGAUCUGAAACCCAUCUUCGAACAGUUCGGCAAAAUCUACGAGCUCACCGUGAUCAAGGACAAGUACACAGGCAUGCAUAAAGGCUGUGCGUUCCUCACAUACUGUGCCCGUGAGUCGGCGCUGAAGGCCCAGAGCGCGCUGCACGAGCAGAAGACCCUGCCUGGGAUGAAUCGACCGAUCCAAGUGAAGCCAGCAGACAGUGAGAGCAGAGGAGAGGACAGGAAGUUGUUUGUGGGCAUGCUGGGUAAGCAGCAGCUGGACGAGGACGUGCGGAAGAUGUUUGAGGUGUUCGGCAGCAUCGACGAGUGCACGGUGCUGAGGGGGCCCGACGGGACCAGCAAAGGUUGUGCCUUCGUCAAGUACCAGUCGCACGCUGAGGCUCAAGCUGCCAUCAAUACCCUGCAUGGGAGCCGAACCCUACCGGGCGCCUCCUCCAGUCUGGUUGUGAAGUUCGCAGACACGGAGAAGGAGAGGGGGCUCCGGCGCAUGCAGCAGGUAGCCAAUCAGCUGGGCAUGUUCACCCCCAUGACUCUGCAGUUCGGAGCCUACAGCGCCUACUCACAAGCGGUAAGGGAGGGGCUCCAGCAGCGAGCACAGCCAGCAUAUCUCGACAUAGGGCUCACCCCCACCCUGUUGAUGCAGCAGCAGUCAGCCAUGGUGGCGGCUCAGAGUGCCUACCUCAACCCCAUGGCUACCAUGGCAGCCGUGCAGAUGCAGCAGAUGGCAGCGCUGAACGCCAACGGCCUGAUCGCCACGCCCAUCGCCACGCCCCUCGCCCCCUCCUCAGUCUGUCCCCCCCGCUCAGUUCAGGUGUCAGUCUCGGCUCACCGCCCCUGUGAUUGGUCCAUUGCAGGUACGAGCACGCCCCCCACCCUGGCGGCCACGCCCGUGCCUGCCCUGCCGGCGCAGAUGGGGGUGAACGGGUACAGCGCUGUGCCGACGCAGCCCAGCGGGCAGGGAGCCUCAGAAUCAAUCUACAGUAACGGGGUGCACCCCUACCCUGCUCAAAGUCCAGCCAGUACAGUGGAUCAGCUACAGCAAGCAUACGCUGGCAUGCAGCACUACACAGCGGCGUACCCAGCUGCAUACGGAUUGGUCAGCCAGGCGUUUCCACAGCAACCAACCAUCGUCGCCCAGCAACACCAGCAGCCACAGCAGCAGCAGCAGAGAGAGGGUCCGGAGGGCUGCAAUAUCUUCAUCUACCACCUCCCCCAGGAGUUCUCCGACUCCGAGAUGCUCCAGAUGUUCCUGCCCUUCGGGAACGUCAUCUCCGCCAAGGUCUUCGUGGACCGCGCCACCAAUCAGAGCAAGUGCUUCGGCUUCGUGAGUUUUGACAAUCCUGCCAGCGCGCAGGCUGCUAUCCAGGCCAUGAACGGCUUUCAGAUCGGGAUGAAGAGACUGAAGGUGCAGCUCAAGAGGCCAAAGGACGCCAACCGUCCGUACUGAGAGAGCGAGGGAGCGAGAGCCCAGGCGGGGUCCAAUCAUAUCUCGAGAUGACAGCGUCGCUAUGACGUUACCUAGACAACCAUUAGCUGUCACGGGAGACAUAGCCCCGCCCCUUGUUUUUUUUUCGGAGGCUGAUAAAGGACAGAGAUUGAGGAAAUAUUCUCCUUUUCGUCAACCUCCCCCCACACCCCCGCGCACGCACGCACGCACGCACACACACACGCACGCACGCACACACAGACACGCAAUCAAAGUCGACAGACAGUUCUGUUUUUUCUCCGAGAAGCAGAUUGGGGGUUAUGAUUUGUUUAGACGUUAGGUAUAUCGAGGCAAGGUCGAGGGGUGACUUGGUUAGGUGUAGUGGCAGCAUGUCUCCACCAGAUGGCGACCUUGUAUAACUUUUUGGCGCGUUUUAUUGAGUACAUUUUUUUUACCCACGUUGACCAAAAAUCCUCAAUCCUCAAACCUGAAGUCUUACUGGACAUCAUGUCGUUUUAAUAGUUUUUAUUUCUCUGUCUCUCUCUCUCUGUUUUUUAAAUAUAUAUUAUACAGUAUAUGAGAAUUAGAACUAUGAUCUUUAGAAAUCCAGACUUUUAAACUUGGUGGGGGCGGGGUGGGGUGUGGUGGGGCGGGGUGGGGGGUUACUGGACGGUAUUUAAAAAAAAAAAAAAAAAAAAGAUUAUUAUUAAUGUUUUUUUGAUCUAUCAAUCAUAAUAAAUGUAAAAAAAAAAGUAAUACAAAAUGGUAACUGAUUUUAAAAGAAAAUAUAGAAAAAAAACAAUGUUUACAUCGACACAACUGUCCUAUAAUUGUAAAUAAUUGAGUUUAAAGAAAAUAAAAGCAGCUGAAUUGAGCGGAGUGACAGCGAGCAGCGAGCGCGUGCGUCUCACAGCGCGCUUUGUUUUAUAAAGGGUGGAGCGAGGGGGCGUUUUCUCUUUUUCUAUUAGCUCACGAUAUUUGAUUAUUUUAGAGAACUGUAGCUAUUCAACUUGGCACCCUGUACAUUCCAGACGUUAUCUUUGCUUAAUUUAUUUCUUAUUUAUUGUACCUUUUUUUUUCCUUUUUAAUUAAUUUAUUAUUUUCUUUCUCUCUGUAAUAAAGAAUUCAAGCAAA